AUUGAACGCUGGCGGCAGGCCUAACACAUGCAAGUCGAGCGGAUGAAGGGAGCUUGCUCCUGGAUUCAGCGGCGGGCGGGGGAGUAAUGCCUAGGAAUCUGCCUGGUAGUGGGGGAUAACGUCCGGAAACGGGCGCUAAUACCGCAUACGACCGGAGGGAGAAAGUGGGGGAUCUUCGGACCUCCCGCUAUCAGAUGAGCCUAGGUCGGAUUAGCUAGUUGGUGGGGUAAAGGCCUACCCAGGCGACGAUCCGUAACUGGUCUGAGAGGAUGAUCAGUCACCCUGGAACGGAGACACGGUCCAGACUCCUACGGGAGGCAGCAGUGGCGAAUAUUGGACAAUGGGCGAAAGCCUGAUCCAGCCAGGCCGCGUGUGUGAAGAAGGUCUUCGGAUUGUAAAGCACUUUAAGUUGGGAGGAAGGGCAGUAAGUUAAUACCUUGCUGUUUUGACGUUACCAACAGAAUAAGCACCGGCUAACUUCGUG
rnacentral:rRNA from 1 species